rnacentral:rRNA from 1 species
GAAUCUGGAGACAGGUGCUGCAUGGCUGUCGUCAGCUCGUGUCGUGAGAUGUUGGGUUAAGUCCCGCAACGAGCGCAACCCUUGCCUUUAGUUGCCAGCAGUUCGGCUGGGCACUCGUAAAGGGACUGCCGGUGUUAAACCGGAGGAAGGUGGGGAUGACGUCAAGUCCUCAUGGCCUUUAUGACCAGGGCUACACACGUACUACAAUGGCCGAUACAAAGGGCAGCGACACUGCGAGGUGAAGCCAAUCCCGUAAAAUCGGUCUCAGUCCGGAUUGGAGUCUGCAACUCGACUCCAUGAAGUUGGAAUCGCUAGUAAUCGUGGAUCAGCAUGCCACGGUGAAUACGUUCCCGGGCCUU